UUUACUGUGCUCAAGCUAUUAUUCAUCUCAGUUAAUAACCAGAUCCUUGUAUUUAUCGUAAGAGAUGUAUCGAUUCACUUCCUUUUCGAGGUAACGAUUGAGUUGGCGCGCAAAUACAUGGCAACCGGUCGUACAAGAAAAAGAAUAUCAUCAUCCGAAGAUUAGAAUCUCUCGACCUUACAUAGGGAACGCUUAAUUUACGGUUUCUUCGGUGAAGGCAGUAGUGUAUAUGUAUUUCGGAUCAGGGGACCACACCUACAAUGUGCAAAGAAUGUUUCUGAAGAUUGAUAAAGUUCGUAUCGACGGAAGAACAAGAAUUCUUCCGGGCAGUUCACAUUUCGUUUUCUACGAUAAACCUUCUCCCGAAAGGUAUCGAGAAAUUCUGAUAGCAUUUGAAGAAAUCGCCAAUUUCUGACCAAUUCUAGAGAACCAAGAGACGAAGUUACAAAUAAAUUAAUUUCAACAGAUGACCCUCCGAUGAUUUUAAAGAGUAUUUGUCUGAAAAAAUACUACCAAGGAAACUUAGAAGUGGUUCUUAGGUUAUGUUUCACGCGCCUCAACAAUUUUGCGGUUCUCGCAAGAAUUCAUUCCAGUCGCCAAUGACAAAAGAAAAAGAAGGAACAAAAUGAACGAAAACAAAAGAGAAAAACGUAUAUUUUCUCAGACACACAUCAUCUUCUUUUAUUUCACGUUACAAUAUUACAUUUAUACCAUGGAUCUUCGGCAUCUAGAGGCGAGGGUCUUGAGUCCUUCUCAAACAGAAAAGAAAGAGACAAAUUUGCCACGAUCGAGCACACUUCGCUUCUCUAUGCCUCCCAUUCUUCUUUUUCCUCCGUGUUUGCUCUCGCGUUCUAUGUAAAUUCGUAUUGUCCUGGCUGAUGUACAUAUAUUAUACAUUAUUAUCAGAAUUUCCAUCUACAACGGCCUUUUUCCCCUGCCACGAAAGAAAGUGACACACUCGAACCGAACUUUGUUUUACCAUCUUUUGUAUCUUCGUUCCUUUAUAACUCGUUAGUAUCACAAGAGAGUAAUGCCUAUAGACGCUAGAACUUUAUAUGUCUUAGACAACCUAUGAUCGUGUACUAUGUACUUGACAACUAGUCCUAACGAAGCUGAUAGAUAGCUACACGCAAUUUGAAUACACAUAGUUUUUGUGCUUUCUAUAGCUGCGUCCUUUUCGCCUUUUCCUUUUAGAUGCGUUUCUCCCACUUUUACUACUUGAAACCGUGCUCUAUAAGAUUUUUUUUCCGUUUGAAGCGACGAUUGUUUUCGCUCUAUUUGUCUUUAUUUGAUAAAGUGCGUUUCAUAACCAGUGCACGGAAAUACGCUCGUUCAAGUUUACAAUUCUCGCUUCUCCUCUAUUUCCACUCGUUUUUACAAUCUUCUAGCCCGUUUUCAACAAUUCAAUCUAACGAUCCACGUCGGUAGUAAACGUAAUUUGAAAUAACUAUACUAUAAGUUGUGUUUCUACUAUAACGUCUCGUCGUGCUGUUUUUUAAGCCUUCUUUCAUAAAUCGAACAAGAUCGCUUGCUACCGAUUAACUCGAAUCAUUUUAACGUAACGAUUCUGUUAUGAUGUUAAAUAAUAAAUGUUUUUAAAAAUGCAGUACUCUAUGGAAGAUCGAAAAUCGUAGAAACAUCAUGAGAGUCGGGAACUGUUCCUAAUAAAUUGAAAGGAAUGGCAAUUGGUACUCCCGCUAUGGUACAAAAUGGUGUCUCAAUUUCUUCUCCUCCUUCUUUGUCUCAUUAUGAAACCGCUACAGAAUUCUUUUCGUAAUAGAACAAACUGGAAUUCGCUACCAGACGUCGUCGUUUCACACAUUCUUGGACCGACUCCGAAACAAAUCAAUUUACAUAAUCGAUUAUAAAAACCUACGUCUGAUGUUCGAUCGAUAUCUUCUAACGCAGCGUGUUUCUAUUUUACUGCUAAACAGCGCUUAAUAUCUAUUAUUCUCCUCUCGUCCUUAAACAAAAAAUGCACGUUUAAAAAGCGGUAGAAACGGUGGGUUCUCUCGCGACAGUCUAUCGGUUCUAAUUAAUUCACAGUAGUAAAGAGACCUAUAAGCUCGAACAGUUUUAUUUUUCUGGUCGUGUGUGUUUGUGUGUGUUUUACGAUUGACAUCCAUUCGCUGAUCUUCAGAGCCGAGCGAAAAGUUAAACGCAGUAUAGAAAAUUUUAUAGUACGAUAUGUUGCAAAAUUCUUCCUGUCCUUCAAACGAAUCAUAGAAAAAGCUACUAUAAAUUUUCUUGAUACAGUUGUUAAAUCGUGUCGGUUCACUGGCAAUAGCGAACAAUGUAUAUUUUGGUUCAUUCGUCGAACGAGAAAGUUACAAACGAUGUUACUAGA